AGAAGGUGACAGUGGGAAAGUCGGGGGAGUCAAGGGUGUCAGCUGCUGCUGCUUCUUUUUGAGCAAAGACUUUGAAAGUUUAAUGUGAUAAUCUCAUCCUGAUUACUGCAAACUGAGGUCCUUGGGCUUGUCCAAGAAUCCAUUACCAACCUCACAUGAGGAGCAGGGAGGUUGCACUGGGUUCCCCGCCUCCCUGCUCCCCCAGUCCCCCAUGCAUACUGGGAAGGAUCUCACCAGUGCAUCACGUGAAAAUAGACCUGGGGGUUUCAAGGACGCUCAGCUCUAUGUAAAGCUAGUUCAAGGCUGAAGAAAAACUGAGGGAUGGGCAGCAUUCACAGAGGAGGGCAGAGAUGGGGGGAGGUUGUGCUGUCCCUUUUUCUGUUCUAUGGAGGAUACCAAAAGCCUAAAAGAGUUUAGAGGAAUGUGCUAGGCACAGUGGCUCACGCCUGUAAUCCCAGCACUUUGAGAGGCCAAGGCAGGUGGAUCAUGAGGUCAGGAGAUCGAGACCAUCCUGGCUAACACGGUGAAACCCUGUCUCUACUAAAAAUACAAAAAAUGAGCUGGGCGUGGUGGUGGGCGCCUGUAGUCCCAGCUACUGGGGAGGCUGAGGCAGGAGAAUGGUGUGAACCCGGGAGGCGGAGCUUGCAGUGAGCCGAGAUCGCGCCACUGCACUCCAGCCUGGGCGACAGAGCAAGACUCCAUCAGAAAAAAAAAAAAAAAAAAAAGGAGUAUAAAGGAAUGUAACUGGGAUAAUCCAACACUUGGAAACCAUUUAUUCAACACAUUUUUAAUUAAGUGGUUUAGAUCAGGUCAGUUGGUCACCAUGCAAGGUACCAGGCAAAAGAAAUGAAUGAAGGCCCAGAACUACCCUGGGGGAGGAGCGCUCAGUAUAGUUGGGUAACCAAAGCAGGGUUUGGGAGAGACAGUUUAAUUAAUACAGUGUGAUAAGGGCAGUGUUAGGGUCUCAUACAAGGUGCCCUGGGAGCACAUACAAGGGGGAGGCACAUCUUCAAAGGCUUCCUGGAGGAGGUGACCAUGUCAGGGGAAGAAUAGCUGAGGCAAAUGGGUCUCUUUAGCUGGGAGAAGAGCCCCUUUAGGAAGAAACUGCCUGCUGUGUUUCUCUGGCUGUGGAAGGUGGAGUGCACGUUUUCUGUGUUACCAGGCAGCAGAUCUACGACCAUUAUGCAAGCAUUAUAGGGAAACAGGUUCCAACCCCCCAUUUUAAUUAACGUUAGCAUAGUGGAAUGGGCCAUCUUGUUAGGUAGUGAUCUCCCCAUCAUUGGCAUGUUCAGGCAGAGGCCAGAGGAUACCUUGUCAAAGCUGCUACAAAAGAGAUGGGAUGACCUCUAAGAUCCCUUCCAAGUCUGAACAACUGCAAUUCUCCGUGGACAGCCACAGGAUGUGGACUGUGAUGGAGAUCAGUGUGACCGGAUUAAGUUAGAGGAUGCGUGUGCUGUGGGAUAGUGAGGUACAUAUGGUAUACCACGACUGUCCUCCUCACCCUGGAUUUACUUUUUAAAAACAUCUUUGGCCGGGCGCGGUGGCUCACGCCUGUAAUCCCAGCACUUUGGGAGGCCGAGGCGGGUGGAACAUGAGGUCAGGAGAUCGAGACCAUCCUGGACAACAUGGUGAAACCCUGUCUCUACUAAAAAUACAAAAAUAACCUAGCGUAGUGGCAUGCGCCUGUUGUCCCAGCUACUUGGGAGGCUGAGGCAGGAGAAUCACUU
rnacentral:lncRNA from 10 species